rnacentral:rRNA from 1 species
AGUGAACGCUGGCGGUAGGCCUAACACAUGCAAGUCGAACGGAAGCACAGUAAGAGCUUGCUCUUACGGGUGGCGAGUGGCGGACGGGUGAGGAAUACAUCGGAAUCUACUUUUUCGUGGGGGAUAACGUGGGGAAACUUACGCUAAUACCGCAUAUGAUGUACGGGUUAAAGCAGGGGAUCUUCGGACCUUUGGCGUUUGAUUGAGCCGAUGUCGGAUUAGCUAGUUGGCUAGGUAAAGGCACACCAAGGCAACGAUCCGUAGCUGAUCUGAGAGGAUGAUCGGCCACACUGGAACUGAGACACGGUCCAGACUCCUACGGGAGGCAGCAGUGGGGAAUAUUCGGCAAUGGGCGAAAGCCUGAUCCAGCCAUACCGCGUGAGUGAAGAAGGCCUUCGGAUCGUAAAACCCUUUUAUUGGGAAAGAAAAGCAGCAGAUUAAUACCCCGCCGUUCUGACGGUACCCAAAGAAUAAGCACCGGCUAACUUCGUG